AGAAAGAGCAAGUGCUUGGGGAGGGGAAUGCAGAGGGAAGAGGUCCCCCAAGAAAGGAAGCUCUCAAGAAUGAGAGACAGAAAGUUUUCAUGACAAAGAAUGCACAUAAGAAAGGAUGGGUGUGAGGGCAUAAGAAAAAGAGCAUCCAAGAAAUAAGGGAAAGCAAGCAGGAAAGAAAGAGCAAGGUUGCUAGAACAGGGAAGGGCAUAACAAGUAACAAGAACACAUGAAAAUGAGCUAAAGAGUAAGCAGAUUAAAGAGUGAUAGAAAAGGAGAGACAGAGGAGGAGACAAAAGAGGAGAAGAUAAUAUGAGGAGACAGAGGGAAAGAAACAAAUUGAUGAAUUGUGAAAGAGAAAGAGUGAGAAAAGAGGAAGGGAAAGAGGGUGUAAGAGAAGGAAAGAGGGUAAAGAGCAAAGUGGACAGUGAGGGAGCAUGAAUGAGAGAGAUUGCAAGGGAAGCAGAGUGCACUGAUAAACCAGAAUGUUUAGGAAAGAGAGGUGAUGUGAGAAAGUGAGCACAAGAACACAAGUCAGCAAGAACAAUGUUGCAAGAAAGGGUGCCAGACCAAGAGAAAAAGGAGACUAGAUUGAUCGUAAGGAGGAGAGGAGCAUUUAGUAAUGCAGCCAGGCCAUUCUGCAGAUCAGGUUUAAAUGUGGACUCCUGUGCAUGGUGAAAUCCAGCUAAAAUGAACAAGGAGUAUAUGGAGAUGAUUAUAUGGGAAGCACUACAAAGCUCAACCACUCAGAUCUCUUCUGUUCACGUUACAAUUUAGAGGAUGGUCUUUCCACAUUCAGGUUUAGCAGUUGCUCCAGAUGUUCACUUGAUGUAAAUCAGCUGUGAUUUCUAUUCAUCAGUGGCUGUUAGUAUCUACUAAAGAACCUGACUCCUCUAACAUCUUUAAAAGUUGUCUUUAAAUCCUAA